rnacentral:rRNA from 1 species
UGCAAGUGGUAGGAAGCCGAAGGUGACCGACCCUUCGGGGAGCUUGCACAGGUGCUGCAUGGCUGUCGCCAGCUCGUGUCGUGAGAUGUUCGGUUAAGUCCGCUAACGAGCGCAACCCUCGCUGUGUGUUAUAUGUGUCACACGGGACUGCCGGUCUUAAGCCGGAGGAAGGUGGGGAUGAUGUCAAGUCAGCAUGGCCUUUAUAUCCUGGGCUACACACACGCUACAAUGGCCAACACAAUAGGUUGCUAAGCCGCGAGGUGGCGCCAAUCCAUAAAGUUGGUCUCAGUUCAGAUUGUAGGCUGCAACCCGCCUGCAUGAAGAUGGAGUUGCUAGUAACCGCAGGUCAGCUAUACUGCGGUGAAUACGUUCCCGGGGCUU